rnacentral:rRNA from 1 species
UACGUAGGUGGCGAGCGUUAUCCGGAUUUACUGGGCGUAAAGCGCUUGUAGGCGGCUUCGUAAGUUGGGCGUGAAAGCUCCGGGCUUAACCCGGAGAGGCCGUCCAAUACUGCGGAGCUCGAGGGUGCCAGAGGAAGGUGGAAUUCCUGGUGUAGCGGUGAAAUGCGUAGAUAUCAGGAGGAACACCCGUGGCGAAGGCGGCUUUCUGGGGCAUUCCUGACGCUGAGAAGCGAAAGCUAGGGGAGCAAACAGG